rnacentral:rRNA from 1 species
GACGUCUACCAUGCUACCCUGAACAUGCCCAAUCUCGUCUGACUUCGGAAACUAAGCAGGGUCGGGCCUGGUUAGUACGUGGAUGGGAGACCACCGUGGAAGACCAGGUAUUGUAGGCG